UACGUAGGGUGCGAGCGUUAAUCGGAAUUACUGGGCGUAAAGCGCGCGCAGGCGGUUUUGUAAGCCAGAUGUGAAAUCCCCGGGCUUAACCUGGGAAUGGCAUUUGGGACUGCAAGGCUGGAGUGCGGCAGAGGAGACUGGAAUUCCAGGUGUAGCAGUGAAAUGCGUAGAUAUCAGGAGGAAUACCGAUGGCGAAGGCAGGUCUCUGGGCUGACACUGACGCUCAUGCACGAAAGCGUGGGGAGCAAACAGG
rnacentral:rRNA from 1 species